rnacentral:rRNA from 1 species
GUUGUCUGGAAUGACUGGGCGUAAAGGGUACGUAGGCGGCCAGGUAAGUCAGGUGUGAAAGUCUAGGGCUCAACCCUAGUGAGCACUUGAAACUGCUUGGCUUGAGUCGAGGAGAGGAAGGUGGAAUUCCUGGUGUAGCGGUGAAAUGCGUUGAUAUCAGGAGGAAUACCAGUGGCGAAGGCGACCUUCUGGCCUUGGACUGACGCUGAGGUACGAAAGCGUGGGGAGCAAACAGGAUUAGAUACCCUGGUAGUCCACGCCGUAAACGAUGAGUGCUAGGUGUCGGGGGGAAUAUCCUUCGGUGCCGAAGUUAACACAUUAAGCACUCCGCCUGGGGAGUACGGUC